GCUGUGGCUCAGUGAUAGAGUACUUGCCUCACAUGUGUGAGGCACUGGGUUCUAUUCUCAGCUCCGCA
rnacentral:tRNA from 1 species